GGUGUAUUUACAGUGACAUACACCUCUCGGUGUAUUUACAGUGACAUACACCUCUGUGUAUUUACAGUGACAUACACCUCUCGGUGUAUUUACAGUGACAUACACCUCUCGGUGUAUUUACAGUGACAUACACCUCUGUGUAUUUACAGUGACAUACACCUCUCGGUGUAUUUACAGUGACAUACACCUCUCGGUGUAUUUACAGUGACAUACACCUCUGUGUAUUUACAGUCACAUACACCUCUCAGUAUAUUUAACCUGUGAUUGGUUAGUUAGUUAAAGGGUGUUACAGCCUGUCGUCCUCACGGGGGUCAUUAAGAACAUAAGAACAUAAGAAAGGAGGAUCACUGCAGCAGGCCUGUUGGCCCAUACUAGGCAGGUCCUUUACAAUUCAUCCCACUAACAAAACAUGUUACCUCUUCACCAGUAAACAACAAUACAGUUAUUACCAAAGUAGGAAUUAUAGUCUCAGUAUAUAUGCACUGAGAGAAAUACGUCUCAUGAUGUAUAUAUUUGUGUGAUUGGUUAGUUACAAGGAUUUCAAGCAUAAUAACUACACAUAAGUUAUUAAGGCUGCAUGUAAGCUAUUCACAGCCAGUGGCAAUAUAAACACAAAUGCAGUAUAAUGUGAUCCUUUAUUGACUACGUUUCGCCCACACAGUGGGCUUUUUCAAGUCACAAACAGAACUGCAUUUGUGUUUAUAUUGCCAUUGUGUCGGUAUUUUAUACCAUUUAUUUCCAUCCUACUCACAGCCAGACAAGCAGACUUUAAUCCUUGAAACAGGGAUUAAAGUCUGGGCAGAUAUACACGUAAACUCACCUCUGUGUAUGUGUCCUGCUUGUGAUUCUUCUAGGUAGUGAACACAUAUAAAUAUCUGUACUUCUACAAGUACAUGUACAAGGUAUACAGUCCUAGAUGACAUCAGUGACAUACUAGUAUAUAGGUGUAUAUCACUGUAAAUACACUGAAAGGUGUAUGUGACUGUAAAUACACCGAGAGGUUUAUGUCAAUAAAUACACUGAGAGGUGUAUGUCACUGUAAAUACACUGAGAGGUGUAUGUCACUGUAAAUACAGAACAUUUCAAGCAAAUUAGGUCAGUUUUUGUCCCCAGGAUGCGACUCACACCAGUCAACUAACACCCAGGUACCCAUUUUAUUCAUGGGUGAACAUGGAUAACAGGUAAAUAACAAAAAGGCACAAUACCGUGACUGGAACGAUACACAAAUAACCCGCACAUAAAAGAGAGAAGCUUACGACGACGACUUUGUCAAUGGUCCAAGUCGGACCGAAACGUCGUCGUAAGCUUCUCACUUUUAUGUGCGGGUUAUUUGUGUAUGGAUAACAGGUGUAAGGAAGCACACAGAAUGUUUCCACCCUUGCCGGGAAUCGACCCAGACCUCAGCGUUUGAAGCGAGAGCUUUUGCCACCAGGCCACAAGUAUUUUAUAAGUCAAUAUCCUAUGAACAAUAUAAAGAACAAGGCCAGGUAACAAUAUGCAUAAGUGUAGAUAGUUUUUAAAUUAAAUAUUCCACGUAUUGUUAAACAGUUUAUAAAAUAUACUAAAAACUGUAUAGAAUUUGGUCAAUAAAGAUAUAUAUUGCCAA